rnacentral:rRNA from 1 species
GUGGACUCGGGUAGUGGCGCACGGGUGCGUAACGCGUGGGAACCUGCCUUUAGGUUCGGAAUAACAGUGAGAAAUCGCUGCUAACACCGGAUAAUGUCUUCGGACCAAAGAUUUAUCGCCCUUAGAUGGGCCCGCGUUAGAUUAGAUAGUUGGUGGGGUAAUGGCCUACCAAGUCGACGAUCUAUAGCUGGCCUGAGAGGAUGAUCAGCCACACUGGGACUGAGACACGGCCCAGACUCCUACGGGAGGCAGCAGUGGGGAAUAUUGGACAAUGGGCGAAAGCCUGAUCCAGCAAUGCCGCGUGAGUGAUGAAGGCCUUAGGGUUGUAAAGCUCUUUUACUAGGGAUGAUAAUGACAGUACCUAGAGAAUAAGCUCCGGCUAACUCCGUGCCAGCAGCCGCGGUAAUACAGAGGGAGCUAGCGUUGUUCGGAAUUACUGGGCGUAAAGCGCGCGUAGGCGGCUUUUCAAGUCAGGGGUGAAAUCCCGGAGCUCAACUCCGGAACUGCCCUUGAAACUGGAUGGCUAGAAUAUUGGAGAGGUAAGUGGAAUUCCGAGUGUAGAGGUGAAAUUCGUAGAUAUUCGGAAGAACACCAGUGGCGAAGGCGACUUACUGGACAAUUAUUGACGCUGAGGUGCGAAAGCGUGGGGA